rnacentral:tRNA from 1 species
GUCCCCGUAGCUUACAAUCCUCAAAGCGUGGCACUGAAGAUGCUAAGACGGUAUGCAAUACAGAACCCGAGGACA